rnacentral:lncRNA from 1 species
GACUGAUGCUCUGCCCCACAUCUUGCAGAGAUCAAUGACAUCAGACAACAUGUGGGAGCGCAAGAGGGCCCUGCAGAUCUGCUCCCAGCUGCUGGCUGCUUGUGAAGAGCUUCGAAGAGGAGAUGCCUGCAAGCACUUUGGCUCCUUGGUGGGAUUGCUGGCACCUCUGACAUGUGACCCCAUGCCCACAUCCCGCCAGCUGGCUGUCGCCUGUCUGAGCUCCCUUCUCCAAAUCCAAGG